rnacentral:rRNA from 1 species
UACGUAGGGGCCUAGCGUUGUCCGGAUUUAUUGGGCGUAAAGAGCUCGUAGGCGGUUCGGUAAGUCAGGUGUGAAAUCUCCACGCUCAACGUGGAGGCGCCACCUGAAACUGCCGUGACUCGAGUCCGGUAGGGGAGUGUGGAAUUCCCGGUGUAGCGGUGAAAUGCGCAGAUAUCGGGAGGAACACCAGUAGCGAAGGCGGCACUCUGGGCCGGUACUGACGCUGAGGAGCGAAAGCG